rnacentral:rRNA from 1 species
UACGUAGGGGGCAAGCGUUGUCCGGAAUCAUUGGGCGUAAAGCGCGUGUAGGCGGCUUGGUAAGUCCGUUCUGAAAGCCCGGGGCUCAACCCCAGGAGGCGGAUGGAUACUGUCAAGCUUGAGUCCGGAAGAGGCGAGUGGAAUUCCCGGUGUAGCGGUGAAAUGCGCAGAUAUCGGGAGGAACACCAAUGGCGAAGGCAGCUCGCUGGGACGUGACUGACGCUGAGACGCGAAAGCGUGGGGAGCAAACAGG